UUCUUGAAUAUAAAGAAAAGACGAACAGCUCAGUAACUCUUAUUUUAUUUGAUGUAUUAGGACUAUAACUAUGUUAAAUUAUAGAUAACAAUAAUACAAUAAGAAUAAGAUCUAUCAGUUAGUUGUUAAGGUAAUGGCUUAACAAGACUAUGACGGAUAACGGUAUUACUUUGUAAUAUUCCGGAGAAGGAGCCUGAGAGAUUGCUACUAAGUCUAAGGAUUGCAGCAGGGGCGAAACUUGACCUAUGAUAUGAUAUUGAGGCAGUUAUGAGUAGUAUUUUAUAAUUAUUGUAGUAUUGUAAGUAUAUGCUACAAGAUAAAUCGGAGGGCAAAUCGAGUGCCAGCAGCCGCGGUAAUACUUGUUCCGAUAGUGUGUAUGAUGAUUGAUGCAGUUAAAAAGUCUGUAGUUUAUAUUUAAUAAACAUUGUGAGGUAUAUUGUAUGGUUAGGAGAGAGAUGAAAUGUGAUAACCCUAACUGGAUGAACAGAAGCGAAAGCUAUAUACUUAAAUGUAUUAUUAGAACAAGGACGUAAGCUAGAGGAUCGAAGAUGAUUAGAUACCAUUGUAGUUCUAGCAGUAAACUAUGUUGAAUCAUAGAUAUACAAAUUGUGUAUUUAUGUAAAGAAAUUAAGAUUAUAUUGACUCUGGGGAUAGUAUGAUCGCAAGAUUGAAAAUUAAAGAAAUUGACGGAAGAAUACCACAAGGAGUGGAUUGUGCGGC
rnacentral:rRNA from 1 species